AUGUUUUGCAGAGAGCCAAGGAUGUGAACUUUCACAGCCAAAACUGUCAGAGUCCAUGUUACAUUCUUACGGUGGCUUUUCCUCCUUGACCAGCGAUUCUUUCUAUUGCCCUUGACUGGUGGUCUCCCUUUAGAGCUUUAACACCUGGAAUUUCAAAAGACUCUAGAAAGAGUUUAUCCAGCCUGAGGAGGGCAAGGGCAUCCUCCACCUGAAGCCCGAGAAUCAAGGCCUUUACAGAAUCAGCUGCUUUUUCUAGAACACUGACAUCCUUGGUUUCUUUACAAGUCCCUGAUUUCUAGUUUUUGUUUUGUUUUGUUUUUCAGACAGUCUUGCUUUGUACUGAAGGCUGGUACGGAGAAAUAAUGUGCCCAGUUGAUAAACGUUUUACUUGGAAAACAGUAGUUUGACGUGUGGUGAUGAUACCGAGAAGAAAAGUAUUUGUGAGAGCUGGAGGUGGAUUUUCUGGCUGAUUGGCAGGUCCCUGGGGGCAAGUCUUGUUGGACAGGCUCAUCCUCUGGAGGGCUCGGAUUGGUGGAGUCAUCACACGGGACUGUCUUCAUUGUCAGUUGUAUCUCCUGCCAAGGUUGUACAUUCCUGGACAGCAGCCACCUCAUGGAUCCAUCACCUGUUAAGACACAAGGGUAACCUCAUCUCCACGUUAUUAGCUGAACCGGUCCUUCCCAUUUUCCUGUGUUGAUGUCUUUCCAAAGCACUCAAGCCCUAUGCUGAGCAUCAUCAUAGGAUGCUGACCAAUGAAGUUCUGCAGGGGUCAAUUUAUUGUCUGCAGCUGGGUUUAAAAUAUUUACAGUAAAAAUGGCUAAAUCUA